rnacentral:rRNA from 1 species
UACGAAGGGUGCAAGCGUUGUUCGGAUUUACUGGGCGUAAAGGGCGUGUAGGCGGAUAGAUAAGUCAGGUGUGAAAUCUCGGAGCCUAACUCCGAAACUGCGCCUGAAACUGUCUAUCUAGAAUCUUGGAGAGGGAAGGGGAAUUUCACGUGUAGGGGUAAUAUCCGUAGAGAUGUGAAGGAACACCGGAGGCGAAGGCGCCUUCCUGGACAAGAAUUGACGCUGAGACGCGAAAGCGUGGGGAU